rnacentral:sRNA from 1 species
AGCUCGACCGGGUCGACCGCCCGCGUCACGAGCAGGUAGUCGCGGAUGCAGAUGCCGUGCCGGCCCUC